rnacentral:misc_RNA from 1 species
AAAAUUUUUCAGCAAGUCUGAAGGGCAAAGUGAAUAUUGUACUUAUUAAUAAUUGUACUAAUUGAUCGACCAGUUACAGUUGUUUUUCAUGAUUUAAUGAAUGAAUAACGCGCAUUUAUAACGUUGAGUCUCUUUAAGCAAGGUUUAAAAAAUCUCUGUUUAGUUUGAUUACGUCUGCUGGAGUUUCACUGACUUUCAUCGGCCAUUUGGAGCAGUUUGGAAAUUACCAGUGAGGAAAAGAACUAAAUUUUAUGUUUUUUCACAUGAAAAACACCAGUUUUGGACAACAAGCAUGGAGAAAAUUGAAAAAGCCUGUACAAGUCUAAACAGCUGUGAGAAAUGCAGUUCGUUCAAUAUAACAACACAGUCUGUCAUAGAGGAAGAAAGUCUGCAGAUUAAUGAUAACUGUACUAAAUAUCUUAAUUCUUCUUUUGAUCCGAUAACAAAAGUUUACCUCGAUGAAAACACAAUUUCUUUUAACCAGACUCGCUGUUGCCUGGGUAACCGCAUAUUAUUAUACAAUAAAGACCUUACGACCGAGAGAAACAUCUUGGACCUCUCUACAUUUUCACCUACCGCAAACUAUGAAACAUUUUUUCUGGAUUCGAGGCCUUUUAAAACCUUAACAAUCAGCUUGUUAACAAUGGCACUGGUUGGAACGCUCCUCAUGUGUGUAUUGAUAGUGGUUUGCUGUUGUAAACGGUAGGUGUUUAUGUGUAAGUAACGCACUAUACCUAUUAAAAACACACGGCAGAUUUAUUAAAUAAUAAACUUUUGAUGAAUAUUUUUUUUUAAUAAUUUGUUUGUUUUAGGCAAUCAAAGAUUAAACAGAGAACACCAAGCCCUUCUAAAUUUACUGCAAAUGGAACACACAACGUAUGCUGAAGUUUUUCUUUUGGUUAUCUUUUGGCAUUAAGUCUGUUAUUUAGACUAGCAGGGUGAUUUUAAAAGCCAUAUACUCAAUGGAAAUCCCACAACUACUCAAUAUGUAAUUUGUACACAGAUCUUUGCUUUUGAGCUUACUUUUCCUUAAGUCAAAAGGUAACAUAAAUAUGCUUGUCUAUAAAAAAAUAGUCUAAAUUUGAUCGAUUCGACUAGUAGAUUGAAUGAGACGAUAAUUGAUACUUUGAUUAAAGAGAACAUGUACAUUCCCAAUGAGUGAUAUUAAGAUAUGAAAAGAUAAAAUUGACCAUUUGAGCUUUAUUUUGUUGUGAUAUCGAUUUAUCAUAUGUUGUAAAAUCUGCAGGAGGAAGUUGCUGAAUACUCAACUGUAGAGGAAUCGGCCAUUCUAAUGGAGUCCUUGACUCAGCACAGAACUCUACCAAAGAUGGAGGAAACACCUUCUGACAAUUAUUUUAUUCUUGAACCAAAUAAAAGAUUAUCAACCACCUCCGUGGCUACAAUGUCAAUAGAACUGAUAGAAUGUGAAACUGACGAAGAUGUCUACAAUACAUUACAUGAAAGAAGAUCCAAGGAAAUGGAGGAGAAUGCAUACAGCCAUUUUGUGGAUUGUAAUGACAGUGUUUACUGCAGUACGAUUAACCAAUGAAUAUCCAGAACAAUCAAGCAGAUGAUUCAUUAUCAUGUUUCAUCGCUAUUGGAUGACAUUUUAUGUUUUUAAAAGGUAGAAGUAAACAUAUUUAGAAUGAGGAAGAAUAAAAACAAGACAAACCUUUACAAAUCUCGAUGCUUUCAAGACGGAAGUGUGUAAGUUUGUGUCAACUAGACGAGUAUUUGAAAAGAUUAGGAAGCAAAAAUGUGUAAUUUAAGAUGAUAUGUUUAAAGGUAUUUCCGAUAUGUACUUCACUGUGCGUCUUUUUUGCAAGAUAACACGUUCAUUUCAUUACAUGAGAUUAGACACUCGCGAUGUUUUUGUUUAGAUAAUAUCAGCAUCAAGACAAAUUGAAUGUGACAAACAUUAAACUGUGUCAACUUGUGCUCCUUGCAAACUGGCUAAAAUCUGUUUGCAACAGAUCUUUUACUAGUAUAUUUAACCAUUGUUAACAAAAGACACGAGCCUUGUUUACAUAUAACAAAAAAAUUUGAGCUGUUCUGUAAAUCGCUUAUAACUCGAUAACUGAUAUUCAAAUGCUGAUUUGAAUAUUAAAAAUACCCUGUUAGAACAAUGUUAACAUUAAAACUGGAAAAAUAAAAAUAUUAACUCAAAUCAU